UCCGGGAGCGGGUCUGACAACUGAACUGGCUCAUUAUUUGCAUAGAAAUCGUGGGGGUGGUGAUGUUCAUUUUUCUUUCAAAUUGGACAUCAAUAAGGCAUAUGACAUAUUGAAGUGGCCUUUUAUUCAAGCUAUGUUACUGAAGCUUGGUUUUGAUGCUAAGCAGGUGGAGUUAAUUAUGGCCAGUUUUAACACUGUCAGCUAUUCUUUUCUUAUGAAUGAAGAGGUACGUGGCUAUGUUAGAACCUCCAGAGGGAUCAGACAGGGGGAACCACUAUCACCAUAUCUCUUUAUUUUAUGUGCAGAGGGUCUUUCUUCUUUGAUUGAAUAUUUUGUUUAGUAGCAGUGGAUUCAAGGGAUAAUUGUAGCCCCUACUGCCCCAAGAAUUCACCACUUGUUGUUUGCUGAUGAUAGCUUCUUAUUUGGGGCAGCAAUUGAUGAGGAAUGUCAGCAGUAUCGUAAUAUUUUGCAUACUUAUGAAAUAGCUUCUGGGCAGUGUGUGAAUUUACAGAAGAGUAAUGUGGCUUUUAGCAAAAAUGUAAGCAUGGAGAGGUAACUCUUCUUAGCUAAUUUGCUAGGAGUUGAGCGAGUAGACAAGCAUGAAAGGUAUCUAGGGUUACCUACUUUUUUGGGAAGAUCGAAAACUGCUACUUUCAGUUACUUAAAAGAGAGGCUUACAAAGAAGGUUGUGAGUUGGCGUGCAAAGCUACUCAGUGGUGCAGGUUAAGAGAUUCUGAUAAAGGCUUUUGGUGGGGAGAUUCGGAAGAAAAGAAAAAAAUUCAUUGUCAUUCAUGGGAUAGAUUAUGUAUCCCUAAAAUGGAGGGUGGUAUGGGUUUUAAGAAUCUUCACUAGUUUAAUCUUGCGAUGCUUGCAAAGCAAGGUUGGAGAAUUUUAAAAAUUCCAGAAUCACUUAUUGCUAGACUGUACAAGGCUGUCUAUUACCCUGAAGGUGAUUUUAGUACUGCAGAGCUGGGAGAUAGGCCUCCUUUUCCUUUUUGUAGUAUAUGUGAAGGUCGAAGUGUUCUACUACGUGGAAUUAGAUGGCAAAUUGGUAAUGGGGAGUCUGUUGAUAUUUGGCGUGAUUGUUGGCUUCCUGAUUCUUUUUCUCGAUGUCCGUCUUCUCCCCCUCCAAGGGAUGCUCCAAAGUAUGUAGUGGAGUUGAUCGGUCAUUCUACAAGAAAGUGGGAUGUUGGAAUACUUAAUCAGUGGUUUACACCCGCGGAUCGGGAUUUGAUUUUGAGUAUCCCUCUUGGUCGUCGGGCUUCAAAUGAUAUGUUAGUCUAACACUUUAUAAAAAGGGUAUUUUUACCACAAAUAGUGCAUAUUUUGUUGCUCGUGAUAUUAAUUUAGGGCUCAUGUUGGUUCCUCCUGCAUUGGUUGACCCUUACAGAAAGUUAUGGGCAGCCAUUUGGCAUGCCAAAGUGCCACCGAAAGUUGCUCUCCAUGCUUGGAGGUUGUGUAUGAGUAUCCUGCCUAAUAGAACUUGCCUUAGUUCAAAGGGCUAUUUGGGUGACACUAGCUGUUUGUUAUGUAACGAUGGCGUAGAGAAUGGUGUUCACUUAUUUACUCAGUGCUAUUAUGCAUUAGAAGCUUGGGUUGCAGCUGCGCUGCCACGUACUGUCUACGGUGGUAGUAUCGGACUUGAAAGAUUGGCUAUUAAUGUUAGCUAAUUCUCUCAAUAAGGAGCAGUUUAAUAAGGCCUUAAUGGUUAUGUGGGCUAUUUGGAAAAACCAGAAUGCACAGUUAUGGGAAGGGAGUAGACAACACCCAAGUGAAGCUUCUAUGGUAGCUAUGUGUUGGUUUAAUGAGUUUGCUAAAGCAAAUACAUCUGAACAACCUCCACGGGUACAGCGAAGGGGAUGGGAAGCUCCACAGAAUGGUUGGUUGAAGUGUAAUAGUGAUGGUUCUUUUCUUGCUGCUGCUAAUAGAGGAGGCGUGGGAGCUGUGAUUCGUGACCAUGAUGGUAUGUUCAAGGCAGUUACAACGAAGCAACUUGAUCAAGUGGUUUCCCCUUUCCAUGCUGAACUUAUAGCCUUAUAUGAAGGUGUAAAGCUGGCUCAAACUUUGCAAUUUGACAAGGCACGCGAGGCUUAGAUUGAAGAUCUUGAACCACCACAAGUGUCUGAAACGCUUGUGGGGUUGGUACAAGAAGAGCCAAUGGAGUUCAAUGUAGCUCAGUUACGGCAUGAUGAUCAUCAGCCUCCAUUGACAAAGCGUGGCCGCGGACGACCAAGAAAGGUUGACGGGUGUGGGGGCGGCAGCAGUGGACGGCAUAGGCCACAAGAACGAAGAUCACAUGCAGGAGCGGUUGCCUGAAGGAUUGCCCUCUGAUUGGCAGGCGAUCAAAAAAACCCGAAAGAGUGGCAAAUCUGCCGGGCAGGUUGAUAAGUACUACAUCAGCCCGGAAGGGAGGAUCCUUCGAUCACUGCCAGAAGUGGAACAGUUUCUCGAAACACAUAAAGUGGAAGAGAGACAAAUUAAAGAUGAAGAAGAUAGAUCAGAGCCGGAGAGCAUGAAGGGCAUCCCGGCGGAGGAGGAUAUGACCGGCUAUGCUUCAAGGACGAGGCUUGGCUGCAAACAUUCCCUCUGGAUCGCAAUAUGGUAUUCGAGUACUUCGCCUUGUCUCCUU